GACGAACGCUGGCGGCGUGCCUAAUACAUGCAAGUCGAGCGCAGGAAAUCGACGGAACCCUUCGGGGGGAAGUCGACGGAAUGAGCGGCGGACGGGUGAGUAACACGUAAAGAACCUGCCCUCAGGUCUGGGAUAACCACGAGAAAUCGGGGCUAAUACCGGAUGGGUCAUCGGACCGCAUGGUCCGAGGAUGAAAGGCGCUUCGGCGUCGCCUGGGGAUGGCUUUGCGGGGCAUUAGCUAGUUGGUGGGGUAAUGGCCCACCAAGGCGACGAUGCAUAGCCGACCUGAGAGGGGGAUCGGCCACACUGGGACUGAGACACGGCCCAGACUCCUACGGGAGGCAGCAGUAGGAAAUCUUCCACAAUGGACGAAAGUCUGAUGGAGCAACGCCGCGUGAACGAUGAAGGCCUUCGGGUCGUAAAGUUCUGUUGUAAGGGAAGAACAAGUGCCGCAGGCAAUGGCGGCACCUUGACGGUACCUUGCGAGAAAGCCACGGCUAACUACGUGCCAGCCGCCGCGGUAA
rnacentral:rRNA from 1 species